UGCUCAGGACGAACGCUGGCGGCGUGCUUAACACAUGCAAGUCGAGCGGAAAGGCUCCUUCGGGGGUACUCGAGCGGCGAACGGGUGAGUAACACGUGAGUAAUCUGCCCUGCGCUCUGGGAUAGCCACCGGAAACGGUGAUUAAUACCGGAUAUGACUGCUACCCGCAUGGGUUGGUGGUGGAAAGUUUUUCGGCGCAGGAUGUGCUCGCGGCCUAUCAGCUUGUUGGUGAGGUAAUGGCUCACCAAGGCUUUGACGGGUAGCCGGCCUGAGAGGGUGACCGGUCACACUGGGACUGAGACACGGCCCAGACUCCUACGGGAGGCAGCAGUGGGGAAUAUUGGACAAUGGGCGGAAGCCUGAUCCAGCAACGCCGCGUGAGGGAUGACGGCCUUCGGGUUGUAAACCUCUUUCAGUACCGACGAAGCGAGAGUGACGGUAGGUACAGAAGAAGGACCGGCCAACUACGUGCCAGCAGCCGCGGUAAUACGUAGGGUCCGAGCGUUGUCCGGAAUUAUUGGGCGUAAAGGGCUCGUAGGCGGUUUGUCGCGUCGGGAGUGAAAACAGCCAGCUUAACUGGUUGCUUGCUUUCGAUACGGGCAGACUAGAGGUAUGCAGGGGAGAAUGGAAUUCCUGGUGUAGCGGUGAAAUGCGCAGAUAUCAGGAGGAACACCGGUGGCGAAGGCGGUUCUCUGGGCAUUACCUGACGCUGAGGAGCGAAAGUGUGGGGAGCGAACAGGAUUAGAUACCCUGGUAGUCCACACCGUAAACGUUGGGCGCUAGGUGUGGGACCUAUUCCAUGGGUUCCGUGCCGUAGCUAACGCAUAAGCGCCCCGCCU
rnacentral:rRNA from 1 species